GCUUACGGCCAUACCACCCUGAGAACGCCCGAUCUCGUCUGAUCUCGGAAGCUAAGCAGGGUCGGGCCUGGUUAGUACUUGGAUGGGAGACCGCCUGGGAAUACCAGGUGCUGUAAGCUUUU
rnacentral:rRNA from 1 species